CGGGGCGUGGCUCAGCUUGGUAGAGCGCACGGUUCGGGUCCGUGAAGUCGGUGGUUCAAAUCCACUCGCCCCGACCA
rnacentral:tRNA from 1 species